UUGGCAUCCGUGAAAACUGCAGAGUGAAGAACAGUUACACCACAAAGAGCAUUAGUUUCUCACAUUGCUCUACUAGUAUGCUUCCACCUUGAAUUGGAGGAACCAUCUCUAGAGGUAAGAGGAAUAGUUCAAUCUCCAUGGUCCACUGAUUCUCAAAG
rnacentral:sRNA from 1 species